AAUACAUUGCACGUGGUAGCCGCAAAUAUACCAAGCCAAGUUUAGUGAAUCUACAACAUAGAUACAAUUUGGAAAUGGAAACCAAUAGGUUUCCACUGUUACAACGAUUAAAUGAUAUAUUGAAAGUGUAUUCACGUAUCUUGGAAGAAAACUGUCAUUGACAAUGGGUAUAAAAUAUGUACCGGUUUAUUGAGAGAAAUGGCGGCUUUGUUGAUAUGAAAAUGUUUACAAUUUUGGAAGUCUGGUCUGAUCGAAGGCAAACUUUGGAUUUAAGGAAAUUUCCCAUUUAAGGAGACUUCUGUCACGUCAUGAGGCUGUCCUAUACAAGAUUUUAGCUCAAUGAAAAGGUUAUGUGAGAUUGGCGAACCGCAGAGCGACCUACAUGAAGUACUCAUAGUACUCACUCAGUAUUCAGCUAAAUAUGUUGAUGUAUUAGCCAGGAUUCGACCGCGGGAGUUCUACGUUAUAUGCGGACAUUCUAAACUAUUAAACACAUUGGCUCACGUACUGCUUUAUCUGCCCAAGCAAUCAGGGUUUCCCCUGAUUAUAUAUGACCUUCUGUAAUUGUAAGCAUGAAGCAAAGGUGAAGAAUGAGCGAAAAAGCCCAAAUAUGGUGUUGAGGAGAUCACAUUUCUUUCCACAAUUUGUGCUAACAUCGGUGGAAUAAUCUGAUCUGACAACCAAAGGGGUGUACCAAAUUCAAGAUGCCAAUUACUGUUACUGCUAGAGGCUCAAAGGCGACAAUGCUACAUGUGUCGCAGCAAAAAAAAAUUUUAAUCAUAAACUGUUAAAAAUAAAUUGUAAUAAUAUGAAACAUA